rnacentral:rRNA from 1 species
AUUGAACGCUAGCGGGAGGCCUAACACAUGCAAGUCGAGCGAGCGGCGGACGGGUGAGUAAUGUAUGGGGACCUGCCCGAUAGCGGGGGAUAACUACUGGAAACGGUGGCUAAUACCGCAUACUAUCGGAUGAACCCAUAUGGGAUUAGCUAGUAGGUGGGGUAAAGGCUCACCUAGGCGACGAUCUCUAGCUGGUCUGAGAGGAGGAUCAGCCACACUGGGACUGAGACACGGCCCAGACUCCUACGGGAGGCAGCAGUGGGGAAUAUUGGACAAUGGGGGAAAGCCUGAUGCAGCCAUGCCGCGUGUAUGAAGAAGGCCUUAGGGUUGUAAAGUACUUUCGGCGGAGAAGCGUUACCCGCAGAAGAAGCACCGGCUAACUCCGUGCCAGCAGCCGCGGUAAUAC